ACCCAUAUUCCUCACUGGACAGUAUUUUUAGCUGAAACCUGAUCCCUUCAGCAACAGAGAAUAAAGGCAACCCUGCAAAACCCCUGCCUUUAACUAGCUCCGUGGACACACACACUAACCCGUUCUGACAUGCAGACAUGCACACUGUGACGCAGACACGCAGCAGGACGUUACGUACACAUGGGGACACACCCGUCUACAGUCCAGUAAGGAAAAUAAAAGAAUGAGACGUGUGAGCUGAGGGCUGAAGUUCUUCUCCACCAAUCUGGAACAGAGUUCCAUUACAGAGACACACUGCAGCAGACAUUACGGAUCCAUAACCAGCUUCAAGACUUCUAAAGGAUGAAGAACCUUAAACUUCUCAUCCUCUCUCUCUCCAUCUGCCUGUUGCUGGGCAACCUGGGGGUGAGUGGCUACAGUGAUGUCGAACCCUGUCAACGGUCCCGAUGCAAUAACUGCCAUGAAAAGUUCCUAUACCGGCAUGUGCGUCCAAAUACCCCGCUAACGACGGACCGCAACGCGUGGGAGAAGUAUCUACGUGAAAAAAAUGACUGCUCAAGACCCACGCAGUCCUUCCUCCAUCCCAAAGACCGGGAGAGGGUGGACGCGGUCUGCUCCAGCUCUGGGGGAAAGAGGUACCAGGGGAACCUGUGCAUCAGCCAAAGCCCGUUCACAUUUCUAACAGUGAGGAGUGAGACUGGGACCUGCGGUGUGUCCAGUGUGCGGGAAGAGACCAAGCAUUUGAUCCUGGCAUGUGAGGUGCUGGAGAACAGGUGUGUGCCGGUCCACUUCGAGGGGAACCGCGAGGGGAGCAAGCCCGACAAUAACGCUGCAGGAUGUGGCAGCACGGAGAAAGGGAAGGGCUCAAGCUUCAAAGUAUCAGGAAUGUGGCUGGCAUCUUCAUUGAUACUCAUGUUUCUCUCACAACUCCUUUUCUGAACAGUUAAUGGGGGGGCAGAUAGUCAAACAAUACAUCAAAAGGAAGUUUGUUUUAAAGUGUCUGUCCUAAACUCUAAAAAGAAAAUGUUCCUGGAGUAUCCUUUAGGGGUUCUUCAAAUGUAAUGUGUGGGUGAACCGCUAUGAAUUCUUCAAAGAACCCCUUUUAAUGGAUCCUCAGAGAACCUUUUGAAGAACCUUUGGGGUACAUUUUUUGAACGACCCCUCUCCCCUAUUAUUAAUAAAGGUAAUAACAAAAACAACAAUAACACAAUAUUUUAUUGUUCUCAGUGUUUAUUAUGAUUGUAGUGGCAAAAGCAGAAUAAUAAAAUCUAAAUAUGAGGUAAACUCCCAGCAGAGCCCCAAGUCCAGUGGAAGUCCAAUGGAAGUAUAUCCUCUGGCGUGUUGAUGUUAUUGUGUUGAUGUUCUCCGUAUCCAUAGCCAGAAUGAGGCGUAUUUCUGUCUGUAAUAAUGCCCUUUUGUGGGGAAAACUCAUUCUGAUUGGCUGGGCCUGACUCCCCAGUAGGAGGGCCUAUUGCCCUCCCUGGCCCACCCAUGGCUGCGCCCCUGCCCAGUCAUGUGAAAUCCAUAGAUUAGGCCUAAUUUAUUUAUUUCAAUUGACAGAUUUCCUUAAUUAACUGUAACUCAGCAAAAUCUUUGAAAUAGUUGCAUGUUGCGUUUAUAUUUUUGUUCCGUAUACUUCCAUAUAUAUUACCAUUCAUUGGUGAGUAGCCCAAACUGUUCUGAAGCUACAGACAGAAGUUGGCAGAUCGGUGGUACCGACUUGCGGGGGUCGUAGAAAACUGAGAACAGCAUCAUGUUGGUGAGAGUCUCAUCUUUCCAUAGAGGGGUCGUAUUAGUUUGUUGGCCAAACCGUUCGGACGCUACAGACGUUUUUGUGAGAAGAACGAUUUCCGCCAUGUCUCAUGGUCUGACAAACAGUAGCUUGGUCACCUUCCACCACAGAUGCGGAAGGACGCCGUUGGAAGGACGCCAUGAGGUGAAUUGAGACGCAGCCCAUCCAAAAGGCUACAUAUCUCUAGCUUAAAGCUACAAUAUGUAACUUUUUGGGCAACCCAACCAAAUUCACAUAGAGAUAUGAGUUAUAGAUCUUAUAUAGAUCAAUAACUAUAUAGAUCUCUAUAGAUCAAGUCUAAGAAGCUGUAGAUCUGUUCUAUGUGUGCUAUUUUUGCGUCUUUUACUUUCAGUUUUGUACACAAGCAAUAUUUUUGGUUAUUGAAAAAAUAUUUCACAGCAGUUUAGGUGGUACUAUGAUUCUCUACACAAUGACUGCUUGUUUUGUCAUAAAACACAGCAGUUUAGGUGGUACUAUGAUUCUCUACACAAUGACUGCCUGUUUUGUCAUAAAACACAGCAGUUUAGGUGGUACUAUGAUUCUCUACACAAUGACUGCCUGUUUUGUCAUAAAACACAGCAGUUUAGGUGGUACUAUGAUUCUCUACACAAUGACUGCCUGUUUUGUCAUAAAAUUCUAAUAGUUUACCUAAUUUCAGUUUAUCAACCAGGAAAUGGCAGAGUGAUUUCUUAAUAGUACAUCUUUAAACAGAGGGAUUUUGAUGGGGAUUUUUAAAAAUGAUUCUAAUUAGAUUUCAGCGGGGGGCACAGACAUCGACUCUAGGGGGUGUAGACUGCCAUGUAUUCAGGUCUGGUCCUGGGCUAUAACGUUUCACUCACAACAGUUAAAAGACUGCCAUGUAUUCAGGUCUGGUCCUGGGCUAUAACGUUUCACACACAACAGUUAAAAGACUGCCAUGUAUUCAGGUCUGGUCCUGGGCUAUAACGUUUCACUCACAACAGUUAAAAGACUGCCAUGUAUUCAGGUCUGGUCCUGGGCUAUAACGUUUCACUCACAACAGUUAAAAGACUGCCAUGUAUACAGGUCUGGUCCUGGGCUAUAACGUUUCAC